AGGCGUGCUUGAUUGAGGAGUAUAAGUGGGGUGAAAAUGACAGACACUUCAUUACGGGAUGCACUGACGCUCAGCUGUGCAGUAAUACAAGAAAACGAGCCGUGGCUGAGCUGGACAGGGAAGGGAGAAAUAUGCCGGUCUGCUCUCACUGUUGUACAACAGAUUUCUGCAACUCAAACUGCACAGAUGCCAGCAUAAUCCCGGGUGUAAUUGGGUGAAGGAUGUUCCAAGCUAAAACGGAUUUCUUGAGAGUGUAC